GAUGAAGAACGCAGCGAAAUGCGAUAAGUAAUGUGAAUUGCAGAAUUCAGUGAAUCAUCGAAUCUUUGAACGCAUCUUGCGCUCCUUGGUAUUCCUUGGAGCAUGCCUGUUUGAGUAUCAUGAGCAAAUCUCAAAGUCAAUUCCUUUUGUUGAUUCAAUUGGUUUUGCUUUGGACUUGGAGGCCUUGCAGAUUUCACAGUCUGCUCCUCUUAAAUGCAUUAGCUGGAUCUCAGUAAUUAUGCUUGGUUCGACUCGGCGUGAUAAGUAUCACUCGCUGAGGACACUGUUAAAAAGGUGGCCAGGAAAAUACUGAUUGAACCGCUUCUAACGGUCUAUUAAGUUAGACAAUUACCCUUAAGUUUGAUCUCAAAUCAGGUAGGACUACCCGCUGAACUUAAGCAUAUCAAUAAGCGGAGGA
rnacentral:misc_RNA from 1 species